rnacentral:rRNA from 1 species
UACAGAGGAUGCAAGCGUUGUCCGGAAUGAUUGGGCGUAAAGCGUCUGUAGGUGGCUUUUUAAGUCCGCCGUCAAAUCCCAGGGCUCAACCCUGGACAGGCGUUGGAAACUACCAAGCUGGAGUAAGGUAGGGGCAGAGGGAAUUUCCGGUGGAGCGGUGAAAUGCGUAGAUAUCGGAAAGAACACCAGCGGCGAAAGCGCUUUGCUGGGCCGACACUGACACUGAGAGACGAAAGCUAGGGGAGCGAAUGGG